ACAGAGGUCUCAAGCGUUGUUCGGAAUUACUGGGCGUAAAGGGUGCGUAGGCUGCGCAGAAAGUCAGAUGUGGAAUCCGGGAGCUCAACUUCCGAAUUGCAUCCGAUACUCCUGUGCUAGAGGACUGGAGAGGAGCUUGGAAUUCUCGGUGUAGCAGUGAAAUGCGUAGAGAUCGAGAGGAACACUAGUGGCGAAGGCUGGGCUCUGGACAGUAUCUGACGCUGAGGCACGAAGGUCAGGGGAGCAAACGGGA
rnacentral:rRNA from 1 species